AUGCUAGCUCUUAGGGGCUUUGGCCUAAAAUGCAUAGGGUGUAUGAAAAGUCUAACUCGGAGAGGCUCUGUUGGAAUCAAGUUGAAUGGGGAAGGAAGUGGUUUCUUCUUAAUAGGCAAAGGCUUGAAACAAGGAGAUCCUUUUUCUCCCCUCCUUUUUAAUUUGGUGAUAGAUGUUUUUUCUAGGAUGAUGAUCAAAGGGGCACAAGCUGGUUUGGUUAGAGGCUUGUGGCCUGAAUUUGUGGAUGGGGUGGUUAUGUGUCUACAAUAUGCAGAUGAUACCCUCUUGUUCCUUCAAAAAGAUAGUAGAGUUGCUCUGGAUCUGAAGUGGAUACUAACCUGUUUUGGGCAAGUGUCAGGCAUGAGGAUUAAUUAUCAUAAAAGUGCCCUGGUCCCCAUUAACAUGGAACCAAUGGAGUUGAAAAGUUUUUUAGAUAUCUUUCAAUGUGUAGUUGGGCAGUUUCCCAUUAAGCACUUGGGAAUCCCUCUGCACUUUAAUAAGCUUAGUAGGGAAGAUCUCCAGUUUUUAAUUGAUAAAAUUUUGGCUGGAAUAGCUAGGUGGAGAGGCAAGUUGUUAUCCUUCCUAGGAAAGGUAACUUUGAUCAAAUCAUGUUUGGCUAGUAUCCCAUUGUAUCUACUAUCUUUUAUUAAGUUUCCCAAGUGGGCCCUUCAGCUCAUUAAUUCCCACAUGGCUAACUGUCUCUAGAGUGGUAGUGAGGGGAAUCAUAAAAUCCACCUUGCUAACUGGCAAUCUAUUUGCAUGAGGAAGGAAUUUGGGGGAAUGGGAGUGCUAAAUCUGCAAGAUAUGAAUGUAUGUCUGAUAGGAUCUUGGAAGAGGUAUAUCGUCAGGGAAGGGUCCCUCUAGAGGAGGGUUAUUGAUAGUAAAUAUAACACCAAAAAACCCAAUGUUCUUUGCUGCCAUGAUAACAAUUCUUCUCAAUUCUGGAAGAGUUUUUUGUGGGCAAUGCAAGCGGUGAGAGUGGUGUAUAGGUGGGCAGUAGGAGAUUGUAGGCAGAUUAGGUUUUGGGAAGAUAUUUGGCAUGGGAAUGCUCCUUUGGCUACACAAUUCUGGAAUCAGUAUUACUUAGUUAAUGAAAAAAAACAAGACCAUUUCAGAGUUGUGGGAUGGUCAAGUCUUGAAUGCUCUUUUAGAAGAACCUUUUUUCAUGAACUUAUGAUCCAAUGGUUUGAUCUGAUUAAUAUUCUCAAACUCACUAAAUUUAGCCAGGAGAAUGACUCCUUGAUCUGGCAGUAUGAAUCUAAAGGGGUUUAUUCUUCAAAGUCUCUGUAUGUAAUAGUUAACUUUAGAGGCAUACUCCCUCCAUUCCUUUAUAUAAGGUGUAUUUGUUUUUUGAUAAAAUUCCACAAUGUAAGGUGCAUUUCUUCUAAUUCCUCGUAA
rnacentral:rRNA from 1 species